AGAGUUUGAUCCUGGCUCAGAAUCAACGCUGGCGGCGUGCCUAACACAUGCAAGUCGAACGGGAAAGGGGAGCAAUCCCUGAGUAUAGUGGCGACCGGGUGAGUAACACGUGACUACCUGCCCUUGAGUGGGGGAUAACCUCGGGAAACCGAGGCUAAUACCGCAUAAUAUCGCAAGAUCAAAGGAGCAAUCCGCUUUUGGAGGGGGUCGCGGCUGAUUAGCUAGUUGGUGGGGUAAUGGCCUACCAAGGCAAUGAUCAGUAUCCGGCCUGAGAGGGCGCACGGACACACUGGAACUGAAACACGGUCCAGACUCCUACGGGAGGCAGCAGUGGGGAAUUUUGCACAAUGGGGGAAACCCUGAUGCAGCAACGCCGCGUGGAGGAUGAAGUCCCUUGGGAUGUAAACUCCUUUCGACCGGGACGAUAAUGACGGUACCGGUGGAAGAAGCCCCGGCUAACUCUGUGCCAGCAGCCGCGGUAAUACAGAGGGGGCAAGCGUUGUUCGGAAUUAUUGGGCGUAAAGGGUGCGUAGGCGGUGCGGUAAGUCUUCUGUGAAAUCUCCGGGCUCAACCCGGAGCCUGCAGGAGAAACUGCCGUGCUCGAGUAUGGGAGAGGUGAGUGGAAUUCCUGGUGUAGCGGUGAAAUGCGUAGAUAUCAGGAGGAACACCUGUGGCGAAAGCGGCUCACUGGACCAUAACUGACGCUGAGGCACGAAAGCUAGGGGAGCAAACAGGAUUAGAUACCCUGGUAGUCCUAGCCCUAAACGAUGAUUGCUUGGUGUAGCAGGUACCCAAUCCUGCUGUGCCGCAGCUAACGCGUUAAGCAAUCCGCCUGGGGAGUACGGUCGCAAGGCUGAAACUCAAAGGAAUUGACGGGGGCCCGCACAAGCGGUGGAGCAUGUGGUUCAUUCGACGCAACGCGAAGAACUUACCUGGGCUCGAAGCGCAGUGACAGCGUAGAAAAUAUCGUCUCCCGCAGGACUGCUGCGUAGUGCUGCAUGCUGUCGUCAGCUCGUUCUGAAAUGUGGUAGGUCCCGCCACGAGGCACAUAAUGGCAGUGCAUCAUUUAGUGACCUGGCACUGCCGGAUACGGAGACGUGAUGACCUAGUCUAGCUUAGCAGGUACACGGCUUCCAAUGGCGAAUAUCAAC
rnacentral:rRNA from 1 species